UCCGGUUUGGCACCGGCAGUCUCCAAUGAGUCCCCGGCAUUACCCGCUGGCAACAUUGGACAGGGGUUGCGCUCGUUGCGCCACUUAAGGCAACACCUCACGGCACGAGCUGACGACAGCCGUGCAGCACCUGUGCAGGCUCCCGAAGGAGGACCGUAUUUCUACGGCUUUCUCGACCAUGUCAAGCCUUGGUAAGGUUCUUCGCGUUGCGUCGAAUUAAACCACAUGCUCCGCUGCUUGUGCGGGCCCCCGUCAAUUCCUUUGAGUUUUAGCCUUGCGGCCGUACUCCCCAGGCGGGGUGCUUAAUGCGUUAGCUUCGGCACGGAGGGAGUCGACACCCCCCACACCUAGCACCCAUCGUUUACGCCGUGGACUAC
rnacentral:misc_RNA from 1 species